rnacentral:rRNA from 1 species
UGGGGAAUAUUGGACAAUGGGCGAAAGCCUGAUCCAGCCAUGCCGCGUGUGUGAAGAAGGUCUUCGGAUUGUAAAGCACUUUAAGUUGGGAGGAAGGGCAGUAAGCGAAUACCUUGCUGUUUUGACGUUACCGACAGAAUAAGCACCGGCUAACUCUGUGCCAGCAGCCGCGGUAAUACAGAGGGUGCAAGCGUUAAUCGGAAUUACUGGGCGUAAAGCGCGCGUAGGUGGUUCGUUAAGUUGAAUGUGAAAGCCCCGGGCUCAACCUGGGAACUGCAUCCAAAACUGGCGAGCUAGAGUAGGGCAGAGGGUGGUGGAAUUUCCUGUGUAGCGGUGAAAUGCGUAGAUAUAGGAAGGAACACCAGUGGCGAAGACGACCACCUGGGCUCAUACUGACACUGAGGUGCGAAAGCGUGGGGAGCAAACAGG